rnacentral:lncRNA from 1 species
AACGAGAAAUAAUCUUCAACAAAUUUAAAGACAAAACGAAUAAUUUUGAACGUACGAAUGCCGUCUCGAGGUCGCUUAGUCACCGUAACGAGGCAAGGAACGUGGGAACAGCCGUCGCAGUUUCCCUUCAUAUAAUCAUAUUAUUUUCGACUACAAUGUUUCAGGAAAUUUUAUGAUGAGAAAACAACCCAAAAAUCAGUUGAUAAGUUUUGUAAAGAAAGGAGCAGCUGCCAUUUUCAUUGCUGAAGUAGGGGCUUUUGGAGCCUGUUACUAUUUUUACCAUCGUAUGAACACAGAUAGAGAUUUCAGAUAUUAUAUGAAGAAUAAUUACAACUUCGCACUUGAAUCUUUUUACACACUUGGAGAGUAUAUGAACAAGACUGACCAGACACGCAAGAUCGACGAAGUCAUCUGGAAUAGACAGUACCCUAUCAUUUUGGAGAAGCAAGAAGAAUUGU